UUAGUUCUUUUUAGGGUUGCUAACUCAACGGUAGAGUACUCGGCUUUUAACCGACUAGUUCCGGGUUCGAGUCCCGGGCAACCCA
rnacentral:tRNA from 1 species